rnacentral:lncRNA from 1 species
UACUGACCAGUACCUCCUCGUACAACAGAUCAUCCUAGAGUAAAAAGGGCUCGCGGGCCAAGAUGUGAGAGGGGUCCGGGUUGUACUUGCAUAGCAUGAACAUAUAAAACACAUUACGAACCUUGGAUUGUUCUGGAGGCAAUGCCAGUCUGUAGGCGGUGGUGCCAAUUCUGUCAAAGAUUUUAAAUGACCCAAUAAAUCAGGGAUUUAGCUUCCCCCUCUUGCU